GGGUUUAGUUUACAGUUGGUACUGUAGUCAGAUUGCAAAUUUGAUCAGGUUAACUGAAUUAGGGUUCGAUUCCCUCUAAAUCUU
rnacentral:tRNA from 1 species